GGUGAUCCCACCCCACCUCUGGAGCCAACGGAAUUGGAACAAUGGGGACCUGCCACUCCAGACAGCGGAGAAGAGGUAGAUCCAGCUAUUAUUUCAGGUCAAGGUGGAUCCACCUCAGAUACCGAAACCAAGAUGUGCAAACAAUUUCUUGAAUUCCAAAGCCAGUUUCCAAACGAAAAUGCCAGACCUUGUGUCUGUCACUCCUGUGUAGGCAAGACUUGUGUGUGUGAAUGCCUCCAAGACACACCUGCCUCAUCUGCAAAUUCUCUUCGAAGUAUUUCUAUGUUGACUGUACUUGUAUUUUCAUAUGUUUUGCACUUUGAAAACAUAUAACAUCAGUAUUUGCUACAAAAAACUAUUGAUCAUUGUAAUUGAUGUUGUUUUUUUACGAGUUCUAAUACAGUCUAGUCUAUCACUGCACGUUCCUGUCAAACUGUUUUGAAGUGUGCAAAAGAUUCAUUCUAAAUAAACCUGUCAUAACCU
rnacentral:misc_RNA from 1 species